AGAGUUUGAUCCUGGCUCAGAACGAACGCUGGCGGCAGGCUUAACACAUGCAAGUCGAACGCACCGCAAGGUGAGUGGCGGACGGGUGAGUAACGCGUGAGAAUCUGCCUAGAGGUCGGGGACAACCAUUGGAAACGAUGGCUAAUACCGGAUACGUGCGAGAGCAGAAAGAUUCAUCGCUGAAGGAUCGGCCCGCGUCUGAUUAGCUAGUUGGUAGGGUAAUGGCCUACCAAGGCGACGAUCAGUAGCUGGUCUGAGAGGAUGAUCAGCCACAUUGGGACUGAGACACGGCCCAAACUCCUACGGGAGGCAGCAGUGGGGAAUAUUGGACAAUGGGCGCAAGCCUGAUCCAGCCAUGCCGCGUGAGUGAUGAAGGCCUUAGGGUUGUAAAGCUCUUUCGUCCGGGACGAUAAUGACGGUACCGGAAGAAGAAGCCCCGGCUAACUUCGUGCCAGCAGCCGCGGUAAUACGAAGGGGGCUAGCGUUGUUCGGAAUCACUGGGCGUAAAGGGCGCGUAGGCGGCCUGAUAAGUCGGGGGUGAAAGCCUGUGGCUCAACCACAGAAUUGCCUUCGAUACUGUCGGGCUUGAGACCGGAAGAGGUAAGUGGAACUGCGAGUGUAGAGGUGAAAUUCGUAGAUAUUCGCAAGAACACCAGUGGCGAAGGCGGCUUACUGGUCCGGUUCUGACGCUGAGGCGCGAAAGCGUGGGGAGCAAACAGGAUUAGAUACCCCAGUAGUCC
rnacentral:rRNA from 2 species